rnacentral:lncRNA from 1 species
UAAAUACGAAAUGAAUCUCUUGCUUUGAUAAUGUGAAUACAAAAUGAGCAUUUAAUCAUUGUCUCUUGUCUUGGUUUCAUCUGUUCCAAUGUUUCUAGCAUCCUAGGAAUCUACCUAACUUUAUGUUCGUCAAUGUUUUAGUACUAUUGGACCUAAAUAAAUUUGGGUCGUCAAUGUUUUAGUACUAUUGGACCUAAAUAAAUUUGGGUCAUGCUACCUAAUGUCUCCGAGGUACUAUUUAAUUCAUUUGUUUUUGUUGCACAUUGAAUUAUAACGCAAUUUUAAUUUUUAGUGUUAAUUGCCUGCAAUAUCUCAUGAAAAUGGCCGAUUUGGUUAGAUCAUUUUUUUGAG